rnacentral:sRNA from 1 species
UAGAUUGGCAGAACUGCUAGAACAAGAAACAGAAGAAUUUUAUAAAAUGGAUCCGGACCCCCUCGAUGACAGGCCACCGGGGAGACAAAUUGUAACAUGUGGUCUUGGACAGAUGAUGAAGAUCAUUUUUAAGAAUGAUGAUUUCAU